AUAGUCUAACUGGAAGAUUGUAGUUUUGACAAGGCUAAUGAGUAGAUAGAGUACUAUGGGAUGUUGUGUCACCAAGUCAAGCCGUGACAACUUUCAAUUUGAAUCGCAGUGGAACUCACACGAUAUAAGAGUAGGCUUUCCACCUAGAAUGACUACUAUUACUAUCAUAGUAGAUGGAAUAUGCAAAACUGUCAAAGAGGUGAAACAUGAUCUUCUAGUAAACUCCAAUACAGAAGAAGGUGAAAAUUUGGAUCUG
rnacentral:sRNA from 1 species